GUAUAAAACUGCGUGCUCACGUUAGAUCCAAGACGUUUUUAAGAAACUACUCACUCUACAUUUGAAAAUGAAAGCUGCCGCCAUUGUCCUGAUCUUCAUCGCACUCUCGUGUGUGUGUGACGCCGUGCCAGCCUGGCAUUCAUUUCGGUCAGGUGAAAGACGUCCGUGUGAGUACGGUGGUGUCACUUAUGCUGACGGGGAGAAAACUAGCGACCCUCUGUGUAUUUGUCUUAAUGGUAACAUAGCCUGCGCUUAACCAACACAGGAUGUCAUGUGACCAGCAGAGAACUCUCUCACCGGUUACAGACGUCAUACAGGAAGUCAAAAGUUCAGUCAAAAGUUCAUAGUAUUUAAACAUCGAAACAAAUGACAAGAUUUUAGCUUCAACUAUUUAUUGUUUUUAGGGAAAAGAUUUUUGUGUUUAAUGUAACUCUGUUUUUUUUUUAUUUCGUAUUUUUUUCUCGUCCAUAUUUUUUAUUUCCUUGAAUAAAUUUCUUACCCUCGAA